rnacentral:rRNA from 1 species
UACGGGGGGUGCGAGCGUUGUCCGGAAUCACUGGGCGUAAAGGGCGCGUAGGGGGUUUGAUAAGGGUGUGGUGAAAGCCCGGGGCUCAACCCCGGGUCUGCCGUGCCGACUGUCAAACUCGAGGGCUGUAGAGGCAGACGGAAUUCCGGGUGUAGUGGUGAAAUGCGUAGAGAUCCGGAGGAACACCAGUGGCGAAGGCGACACGCUGGGCCGUACCUGACACUGAUGCGCGACAGCAUGGGGAGCAAACAGG